rnacentral:rRNA from 1 species
CCUACGGGGGGCAGCAGUGGGGAAUAUUGGACAAUGGGGGGAACCCUGAUCCAGCCAUGCCGCGUGUGUGAAGAAGGCCCUCGGGUUGUAAAGCACUUUCAGUGAGGAAGAACGCCUGGUGGUUAAUACCCAUCAGGAAAGACAUCACUCACAGAAGAAGCACCGGCUAACUCCGUGCCAGCAGCCGCGGUAAUACGGAGGGUGCGAGCGUUAAUCGGAAUUACUGGGCGUAAAGCGCGCGUAGGUGGCUUGAUAAGCCGGUUGUGAAAGCCCCGGGCUCAACCUGGGAACGGCAUCCGGAACUGUCAAGCUAGAGUGCAGGAGAGGAAGGUAGAAUUCCCGGUGUAGCGGUGAAAUGCGUAGAGAUCGGGAGGAAUACCAGUGGCGAAGGCGGCCUUCUGGACUGACACUGACACUGAGGUGCGAAAGCGUGGGUAGCAAACAGGAUUAGAUACCUGGUAGUC